rnacentral:misc_RNA from 1 species
GCGCUUCUAGAUUGGAAUGGUCAUCAGAGAGUGAUUCAUAUGGACUGGAGUCCAAAUCUGUAGGAGCAACUUCCAUUUGUUCUACUUCCUUUUGUUCCUCUGAUUCAGGACAAUAUUCUGGAAAAGCUCCCUUAUUUAAGUCCAAUCCUUUCUGAUGUGCACCCUCAUUAAAGUCCAACCCUUUCUGAUGUGCACCCUCAUUUCCAGUAUCAGAUUCUUGAAUAUAUGAAAGAUUGCUGGAUGGAGAGCAAACCAAGUCUGAAGAGAGGACAUUAGCAACAUUAACACCAUCAUCAGCACCAGUGGUGACAGUAACACUAACAGGAGAUGCACCUACAUCUUCCUUUAAGUUUACGUGCUCAUCAAGAAUUUGUUUAUCUGAAAAAUUCACUGGAUGCUCAAAAGGGACAGAAUCUUCUCCCACAUCCAACUUGCUAGCACAUCUACCUAUUUCCUCACCACCAUCAGCUGCAGAAGUUUCUUCAAGACUCGUCUCUUCAGAAUGUGUUGCUCCUACUUCAGUCAAUUCACG